rnacentral:rRNA from 1 species
CCUACGGGAGGCAGCAGUGAGGAAUAUUGGUCAAUGGACGAGAGUCUGAACCAGCCAAGUAGCGUGAAGGAUGACUGCCCUAUGGGUUGUAAACUUCUUUUAUAUGGGAAUAAAAUGUUCCACGUGUGGGAUUUUGUAUGUACCAUAUGAAUAAGGAUCGGCUAACUCCGUGCCAGCAGCCGCGGUAAUACGGAGGAUCCGAGCGUUAUCCGGAUUUAUUGGGUUUAAAGGGAGCGUAGGUGGAUUGUUAAGUCAGUUGUGAAAGUUUGCGGCUCAACCGUAAAAUUGCAGUUGAAACUGGCAGUCUUGAGUACAGUAGAGGUGUGCGGAAUUCGUGGUGUAGCGGUGAAAUGCUUAGAUAUCACGAAGAACUCCGAGUGCGAAGGCAGUUCACUGGACUGCAACUGACACUGAGGCUCGAAAGUGUGGGUAUCAAACAGGAUUAGAUACCCCGGUAGUC